GAUGAAGAACGUAGCGAAAUGCGAUAAGUAAUGUGAAUUGCAGAAUUCAGUGAAUCAUCGAAUCUUUGAACGCACCUUGCGCUCCUUGGUAUUCCGAGGAGCAUGCCUGUUUGAGUGUCAUUAAAUUCUCAACCUUAUUGGCUUUUGCUGAUAAUGGCUUGGACUUGGGGGUCUUUUUGCUGGCUUUCAUUAGUCUGCUCCCCUUAAAUGUAUUAGCCGGUGCCCCGCAGUGGAACCGUCUAUUGGUGUGAUAAUUAUCUACGCCGUGGACGUCUGCUAUAAUGGGUUUGCGCUGCUUCUAACCGUCUCUCGGGACAACACAAAUGACAAUUUGACCUCAAAUCAGGUAGGACUACCCGCUGAACUUAAGCAUAUCAUAAGCGGAGGA
rnacentral:misc_RNA from 1 species